GGGGCGACACGCGGGAGUCUGGGCGAGGGCUGGAUCCGUGAUGAUCCCUCCUCUUCAGCUAGAAAAAUGACGAUGUUCAGGAACUUAAAACUUCUUCUCUGGAAGAAUUUCAUUUUAAAGGUUCCACCUCCGUGAAGGCAGAAGACUAUGUGUGUUUUGUUCAUACACUGUGCCUGGCAC